UAGUCCACGCCGUAAACGAUGAUUACUCGCUGUAGGCGAUACACAGUCUGUGGCUAAGCGAAAGUUUUAAGUAAUCCACCUGGGGAGUACGAUCGCAAGAUUGAAACUCAAAGGAAUUGACGGGGGCCCGCGCAAGCGGAGGAACAUGUGGUUUAAUUCGAUGAUACGCGAGGAACCUUACCUGGACUUAAAUGUGCGUUGCAUAGAUCAGAGAUGGUCUUUUCUUCGGACUACGUACAAGGUGCUGCAUGGUUGUCGUCAGCUCGUGCCGUGAGGUGUCGGGUUAAGUCCCAUAACGAGCGCAACCCUUAUCCUUAGUUGCCAGCGGGUCAUGCCGGGGACUCUGAGGAGACUGCCACCGUAAGGUGUGAGGAAGGUGGGGAUGACGUCAAAUCAGCACGGCCCUUAUGUCCAGGGCCACACACGUGCUACAAUGGCCGGUACAGAGGGAAGCCACCACGUAAGUGGGCGCGGGAUCUAUAAAACCGGUCACAGUUCGGAUCGGGGUCUGGCAACUCCG
rnacentral:rRNA from 1 species